rnacentral:lncRNA from 1 species
UGUGUACGACCAUGAGAACACGACAUAAUUACAGCCCAUAGAUGAACCUUAUAUAAGAGCGGAGGAAGAACACGGCCACAUUGUGCGUAUCUGUUGGCUUGGUCGCAGUUUGAAGCAAAUCUCAUUCUCUGUGGUAUCUUUUCUGAUUACAGUUUUCUCUCCAUCAUGAAGUGGAUGAUCAUAAGAUUCUGCAUGUUGGCUCUGCUGGUCUCCCAGGCUCAGACUAAAGGGACAACUGACUUGGCAACAACUGAUGAUGCUUCAGUUACAAGAACAAAUCCAACAACCGUAAAGACUUCAACUAAAACUACAGCUCAACCCACUGUUCCAGCAAUUGGUACUACUUCACCCAUAAUAACGAGCAUAAAUACUUCAGAUACAACUCAAGCCCCUGUGACAACUCAAUCAGAUCAGCCAACCACAACGGCUCCAUCUUCAAAGCCCACCAUGAUUCAAACAACUGAAUUUCCAAGCAACAUGACUGAUAUGACCACGAUGACAAAUUCCUCAACGCCAGUGAAUGCCACCAUGACAACAGUAGGACAGACCUCAAUUUGGACGACUACGUCAUCCAGCGACUCACUGACAGUUACCAUCAUCAGCUAUACUCUAUCCGUCCUGCUGUACAUGAUGUUGAAUUGAGCAUUAUUUGAUUCAGCACCCUGGAUUAAAGCUAAGCUUGUUUUGGAAAGUACUGUAGUACAGUAUAAUAGAAUAUAAGUAAUAUAUAAAGGUAAAGUAUAGACUAUAUGUAUAUACUUUAUAUAUAAAUUGUUAAUGAGUAUAUAAAUUACUAUUACAUUUACAGUAGCAUAAGCCAAAACUGAACAACAGAUUAUAGUUUUAUUGACUGAAUGUUUGUUAUGGUUGCACAAACCUGCUUGAUGCAUCACAAAUGAGGACUGCCUAAAAAAGCACCUAAGAUUUCAAAUGAAAAAUGUAUAGUUUAAAAUAAUGUCUGAAAUAAAGCAAAGGAUCUGUUGAUUGUAUGUAUUUCUUUCAUAGUUAAGCG